CUACGUGCCAGCAGCCGCGGUAAUACGUAGGGCGCGAGCGUUGUCCGGAAUUAUUGGGCGUAAAGAGCUUGUAGGCGGUUUGUCGCGUCUGCUGUGAAAGGCCGGGGCUUAACUCCGUGUAUUGCAGUGGGUACGGGCAGACUAGAGUGCAGUAGGGGAGACUGGAAUUCCUGGUGUAGCGGUGGAAUGCGCAGAUAUCAGGAGGAACACCGGUGGCGAAGGCAGGUCUCUGGGCUGUAACUGACGCUGAGAAGCGAAAGCAUGGGGAGCGAACAGGAUUAGAUACCCUGGUAGUCCAUGCCGUAAACGUUGGGCACUAGGUGUGGGGGACAUUCCACGUUUUCCGCGCCGUAGCUAACGCAUUAAGUGCCCCGCCUGGGGAGUACGGCCGCAAGGCUAAAACUCAAAGAAAUUGACGGGGGCCCGCACAAGCGGCGGAGCAUGCGGAUUAAUUCGAUGCAACGCGAAGAACCUUACCAAGGCUU
rnacentral:rRNA from 1 species